rnacentral:sRNA from 1 species
AUAGCAACCCCAUUCCCCAAGCCCUCUGUCCGUCUCCUCUGGUAGGUUCCACAAUGGUACAGGCAGCAUCACGCUGCACAAUGGUUUCCAGGCAGUGAAAGAGGGUGAUUCAGCAAGCCACUCUUCUUCUAUUUUCUUUAACCUCCCCUUCACUUUUUAUUUUUAUGGGGGUGGGUGGUGCUUGCUAUAUGCUUACCUUUUUCUUUUCUUUUUUCAUUUUUACAAAUUUCCUUUUUUGUCCUCACCCCUCAAUUCCUAGGGGCUUGAGUGAGUUUAAGAUUGGGUUUUCUUGGAAAUCACCUGUCCAUCGUUAAUUUUAAACAAUCUCCAUAUCUCCAAAGAAUCUCUUCCAUGUUAGUCUGGAAUGUGGUUAAUGAAAAACAAGUAGGGAGGAUUUCUGGGGCAAACACUGCCGGAUCAGGAUCGUAGUUCUCAGGCACGGAAUGGCUAGUGUGAGAAACACCAACGGCAGGCCCAUCUCAGAUCUUCACUAUGGCAACUUAUGCAAGAAACUGUUGAAUUAGACCCGUUUCCUAUAGAUGAGAAACCAUACAAGCUGUGGUAUUUAUGAGCCUCCAUUUCUUAUACUACUGCAGUGAACCAACAUUGGAUGUGAAAAUUGCCUUUUGUCAGGUGUGUGUUCCUUACAGGUAAAACAAGGGAUUCGAUAAACAAGUGGAUGUGUCAUAUAUUGCCAAACAUUACAACAUGAGCAAAAGCAAAGUUGACAACCAGUUCUACAGUGUGGAAGUGGGAGACUCAACCUUCACAGUUCUCAAGCGCUACCAGAAUCUAAAGCCUAUUGGCUCUGGGGCUCAGGGCAUAGUUUGGUAAGUGGAAUGGAUUUGCUGUAUUUUUAAAGGGAACACACCGUGUGCAACUACUAGACACAAACACACAAACAAACAAAAUCCCCAAAAUAAAUAGCAUAAUUUGGGAGGGAAAAAUAAUCCUAUUGAAGAAAAAAAA